CCAACUUGCAUUCGGAUCCACUUUGAAAGGCAAAACAGGUUCAAUCCAUCCUAAUUUGACCAAUCUCCGCAACAGGCUCGUAUAUGAUUCUCCAAUUGGGGUGAAGUUUUCCUUUGGCCUCUGUUCUCUUGUAUAGUCUGCCGUAACAUACGGAUUACGAGGGGCUUGUAAAUUUGGCUGCCGCGGACGAAAACCUUGUGG
rnacentral:lncRNA from 1 species